CGUCGUCCAUUUGCUGGGGGCAGAUAAAGUGGAUGUGGCUGUCGAACCCGCCGGCCGUCAGGAUACGGCCCUCACCGGCGAUGGCCUCGGUUCCGGGGCCGACGACGAUGUCGACGCCGGGUUGCGUGUCGGGGUUGCCGGCCUUGCCGAUCUUGUGGAUGCGCCCGUCCUUGAGGCCCACGUCGGCCUUAUAGAUCCCGGUGUGAUCGACGAUCAGGGCAUUGGUGAUAACAGUGUCCACUGCGCCUUGGGCACGGGUGGCUUGUGACUGGCCCAUGCCGUCACG
rnacentral:sRNA from 1 species